UUCCUUUCCACUUCGUCUUUUUCUCUUUGCGAACAAAAAAAGACACUUCUUUUUUCUAGGGUUUAUGCAUCGUUCUCUUCUUGCUCGUCUUCCCCCAUGUCGUCUUCCUCCUUGCAAACCUCGAAACUCUGUUUCAACAGUGAGUGUUCCGAGUUCAAACCGGAGCGUUUUCGUCCUGCUUGGCGCUUUCGUAAUGGCGAUUUUGCUGACCUCUGUGAUCGUUGCGCUUCUGCUUAUGAAGAAGGCAGGUUUUGUGAUGUGUACCACCUAAAGUCUUCUGGAUGGAGGACCUGUGAGUCAUGCGGGAAGCGGAUUCAUUGUGGCUGUAUUGUUUCUGCAUCCGCUUUUAUGUUGCUGGAUGCUGGAGGAGUUGAAUGCUUGGCUUGCACUAGGAGAAAAGCUUCGUUGGGGCUCAGUUUUUCGCGACCACCACCAUCCUUUUUCUUUCAACCCCCAAUUGCAGAGAAAUUCAAGGACUUGUCUGUCAAAGAUUGGAGUUCUUCAGCUGGAUCAGGUCAGGUGAACUGCUGUCAGGUCCCAAACUCGUUAGGACCUUGUGUGCUGCAGUUUGAUUUUCAUAAUCAUGGAGUUCAACAUGCAACCGGUCAGCCUACUUCCAGAGACAGGGCGAGUUCCAUGGGGAGACAUGAAUUGGAAGACUCUUCUGGGAAACACAUGAGUGAGAGUUCAAAAAUUCACGCAAGCAGCAUACUUGAAAAUGGGAAAGGAACUAAUUGUGAAGAUCAUCCUAGUCCAGCCAUAAAUUCAUAUAAGGUGCUGAACCCUUUGAAGGAUGAUCCAUGUCGUUCGCGGCUUGCUUUCCCUGGGCCAGUUGCAACACCAAAUGACACAAAUGGUCACAUUAGACUCAUUGGACCUCAUUUAUGGCAAACAUCUCCACUGAAUCACUCGCACAAUGACCUGAACAGUGGAGUUGACUCUCCAUGUGAAAGCGAGAGUCGGAAUAUGACGCUUAAUGUUGAUUCACAACUAAAACAUCGGGUGCUUCCACGAUACUGGCCUAGGUUUACUAAUCAGGAUCUGCAAAACCUGUCCACAGACUCCAAAUCUGUUAUCACUCCUCUCUUUGAGAAGAUGCUGAGUGCAAGUGAUGCUGGACGGAUUGGGCGGUUGGUGCUGCCAAAGAAAUGUGCAGAGGCUUACUUGCCACAAAUUUCUCAGCCUGAAGGUUUGCCUCUCAAAGUACAGGACUCUACUGGAAAAGAAUGGAUAUUCCAAUUCCGCUUUUGGCCUAACAAUAAUAGCAGAAUGUAUGUUCUGGAAGGAGUAACUGCGUGCAUUCAGAAUAUGCGAUUGCAGGCUGGUGAUACGGUCACAUUCAGUCGAUUAGAUCCAGAAGGGAAGUUAAUCAUGGGGUUCAGAAAGGCUUCGGUUGCUCAAUCAUCCGAUCAGGUGCCAGGAACUAGCCUUUACUCUGAUAUAAGGAGAUUAGCUGCAAAAGAAAAUGACUCGAUUAAGAGCGGGCGUGACACUUGCUCAACUGGAGAUGCUGAACCAGCUGAUCCUCGUCCAUUGUCAAAAGCUCAUAAGUCUGCUUAUAUCGCAAAAGAAGCUCUGGCAGUAAAAUCAUCUUCCAGGAAGAAGAAGAAAAGCAGCAUGAUGAUUUUAAAAAGUAAGCGUCGAAGGGUUGAGAAAGAAGAUUUCAUAGAGCUGAAGUUAACAUGGGAAGAAGCUCAAGGAUUGCUCCAGCCUCCUCCCAAUAGUGCUCCAUCUAUAAUUGUGAUAGAGGGUUUUGAGUUUGAGGAGUAUGAGGAUGCACCGAUCAUUGGGAGGCCAACAGUCUUUGCUACUGAUGACACAGGUUUCAGGACAGGAUGUUCUGCAGCUCAAGAACUGGCAUCUGAACAGGUGGAUAAUAUUCACCCGCCGCAUAAUUCAGAUUGUUCGAAAGUGUUGAAAGCUUCGAAAGAAGAAUCACAUGAUAUGGAGACCAUAGAGGAGAUUGGUGAAGGGCUUUCAAUGUCAUCCAAGACGACCACGAGGCAUCCAAGGCAUAGACCGGGCUGCACUUGCAUUGUUUGCAUUCAGCCGCCAAGUGGGAAAGGUCCGAAACACGAGCCAGGCUGCACAUGUGCUGUCUGCCAGAUGGUCAAACGCCGUUUCCGUACUUUGAUGCUGCGGCGAGAGAAGAAGCAAACAGAGAAAAAAGACAACAAACGGAAGGAGUCUCUGUUACUGAGUUCCGACGAGGAACUUAACCAAUGUCAGGAUCAUGACGACAAAACGAGAGGGAAUUCAUCAUCAACUCCGCCUUUUAAAGGCCAGAUAGAUCUGAAUACCCAACCAGAGAAAGACGAAGAAUCAUCUCCACUUGGUUCGGAUUCAACUGCUAUGAGAAGAUUGCCGUGUAAUGUAGCCAUGGAAGAAGCUUGCUUUGAUCAACUGAAACUGUCAAGUGAGUGUAGCCACGGUAUCUCAGUCACUAACCAGAUUAGCCCGAAAGACGGAGUAAAACCUGUUGCUAAUACAGUAGUUUCAGACAGCAACACUGCCUGACUGAUUCGCCAACUGUCUUGUUAGUUCAACAAGCUUUUCCUCGAGGUGAAUAACUCUUAAUUCCAUAGGCGUUGGCCCAUCUUCAGGUUUGUACAUAUUAUGGAGCUUAUCAGUCUGUAUUGAAGCGAAUUGGAUCAGUGUCGGUAUCAGGAUUGAUAUUGGUUUUGCAGAUUUAACACUAUGGUAUGAACUCGAUGGACAGAAGUAAAGGCAAACAUUCGAUUUCGACAUGAAACCAAGAAGAUAACACAGA